rfam:Pteropus alecto contig168292, whole genome shotgun sequence.
GGCUCCGUAGUGUAGUGGUUAGCACCUCUGCUUUGCACAUGGAAGGUCCUAGGUUCACCCCCCAGGUGGAGCCA